rnacentral:rRNA from 1 species
CGUGGAGUGAUCUGUCUGCUUAAUUGCGUUUCAAAAUUUAACUUGAGGACCGGGUUUUGGUUUGGCUAGUGGUUCUACGAUGACUGUGAACUGUCAUGUCUUCGGAUGUGCGACUAUUGGUCUAGGAUCACAUGACUUGCCCCUGGGACUCUUUUGAACGCAACGGACGUGAUUGCAACCCCUUGUUGAGAUUAGAGAUAGUCUCGAUAUUCACUGGACAAACUGGCUGCUUUAUGCAGUCUUGUUGAAUGGUGGAUAAACUCGGGGGACUGCUGACUAUAACCAUUUCUCAAAACAGAGGAAGGUUGCGGCAAUAACAGGUCUGUGAUGCCCUCAGAUGUCCCGGGCUGCACACGUGCUACAAUGAGUGGCGCAAUGUGCUAAUGUUUAAGGGAUAAGAGUGUGGUCAGUAGAACGUCGGGAUUUCCCCUGACGUCUCCCCCGCACGAUUAUCAGCCUUCCCUUAACAGGGCGGGCAACCUUUUCAAAAUACUGGUUUGAUGUUAAAGUAUUGAGUCGUUUUUUUUGGAUGGUGGUUUGUUAACCAAUACCAUCCGGCAACUGCUCGCGAGUUUGUGGUUCUGGCGACUCA